GGAGAACACAGGUCAGGGUGGGGAGGGGGCACGGUGGGCAGGGGUGACCAGUCUCCCCAACUCCUCAUGUUAUGCUAAUAGGAGCACAGACACAUUCAGAUGCAGCUGCAGAAAGAGGUGUCCGGUGAUCUGAAGUCACAUAGCGGGAUGCAGCAUCAGUCAGUCCCCACAAGGCAGCUGUCUCAAACUUUAGGAACCGUGAGAGACACAUCAGAGCCCUGG
rnacentral:misc_RNA from 1 species